rnacentral:rRNA from 1 species
UACGUAGGGUGCAAGCGUUGUCCGGAAUUAUUGGGCGUAAAGAGCUCGUAGGCGGCUUGUCGCGUCGGCUGUGAAAACCUGGGGCUCAACCCCGGCCUGCAGCCGAUACGGGCAGACUAGAGGUAUGCAGGGGAGAAUGGAAUUCCUGGUGUAGCGGUGAAAUGCGCAGAUAUCAGGAGGAACACCGAUGGCGAAGGCAGGUCUCUGGGCCACUACUGACGCUGAGAAGCGAAAGCAUGGGAGCAAACAGG